ensembl:lncRNA
CUUCCCCUUGUCAUGAAAGGUAAGUGGCUCCCAGCUGGCCCACCCUAAGUUAAUGACUCACAGGUGAAUAAUGGUUAGGUUUAAUUAGGACUUGGGCAUUUUUAGGGCUUCUUGGCAGGUUCAUCAAGAUUCACUUAUUGUAGGAAGAUGGAUUGGUUACAGGGAUUGGUCAUUUGGUUAUCUUCUCAAGCAAUUUCUAAGCUAAAAUCUGAACCACUGCUGUGCUCUUUUAGACCCUCUGCCUUUUUAAAUUACAAAAACAAACCGAAAACCUGGAAUGUAAAGAAAUUACCUUGGGUGCAACUUUAAGGGUAUAAAAAGGGAGUCAAGGAAAUGUUAGACCUCAUCGUGUCUUGAAAGUCCAGAACUGGGUUGGGGAUCCCAUCCAGGCUUGCCCAUGGUGCCCUGUGCUUCAUUCCUGGUAACAGAGAAGCCUGUUUGUCCAACUCUUCACUAUCCUGAAGCCAAUGAAUGGAUAAUUCGAUGAAACAGCACAAGUUUAAUAGCAGGUUGAAAGCAUCUAAAACGAAACAGUCCCUGUGGAUAUGGAGCCUCAUCUUCAGUGUGGGGGAAGAGUGAAGGACAAAAUGGAAAGAGGCCAGGAGCAUUGUGUUCUCUCCAAGUGGAAGGAAACCUCUGGAAUGGGAAAGAAGCAUUCUCUCCUAACAUGGCGUGGUCCUAGAAGGCAACUGAGUGUUUUUGAGAAGACUUCUUAUUUUUUAUGCCACCGCUAAAGAAGGUAUGUUAUCUUGUCAUCUUUCACCCUUAGGAGUUAGGCCAAGAAACUUGGUGCCCAGGGAUUUUGUUAGGUCAGUUUUGGUGUUUUGAAUUAACAUCAGGAGAAGACAUUUAACCAACUCACCCUAGUAUAAUUCUUGGAUUUGUAUUGCUUUGAUAUGUUCAAAGUUAUUUAUUAUUUCCUGAAUUUUGGAAGGCAGGACCACACUUAUCAGGGUGAUGGAAAGAAAAGCUUCAUUCUAGAUUUUAAGAUAACCAUAAUACUCUUCAAAAUUGUACUCACUUAUAUGUAACCUCAAAAACCAUUCACUUAUUCAUUCUUAAAUUCAUCUGUUUAGUCAUUAUGCAUGUAUUUUAACAUUCAGUAAGAAUUUAUGAGAUGUUUUUCACCUAUGUGCCAGUUACUAUACUAGGCAGAAGGAAAAGAAAGCCAAUUCUGUGUAUACAAAAGGCUAAAGGGACUCACAUAGUCCUAAAAGAGCUAGGACACUGUAUUGGCCAGCACCCCACCACACACAUAUCUGCUUUAGACCCUUUAGAUCCUGGUAUGCACUGAGGGUUGCAGAAAUGAUACAUAAACAUCUUUACUUGAUUUCUUCAUAUAAAGUGUGUAACAUUAGAUAUGUAACUUAGAUAUUUACAUGUGUCUGAGAGAUUUGUACGAGAAUUUUCAUAGCAGCUUUAUUUAAAACAACCCCAAACUACAAACGACCCAAAUGUUCAUUAACAGAUUAAUGGGAUUGGCUAACACUCAGCGAUAAAAAGAAACAAACUAUUAAUUACAUGCAACAGAUGAAUCUCAAGAUGAAUCUGUUGUAUGUACCAUUACAACAUAGUAACACAUACAAGCAAUAAUACAUACAGCAGAAGAAGCCAGAUUAAAAGAACAGGAACUAUCUGAUUCUACCGUGUGAAGUUAUAGAAUAGGCAAAAAUAAAUUACAGUGAAAGAAAUAAGAACAGUGGUCACAUCUGGAAGUAAGCAGUGAAGAGCAGACUACAAAGGGAUAUGAGGAAGCUUAGGGGGUGAUGGGAGUGUUUUGUAUUUUAAUUAGGGUGUUUGUUACCCGGCUGUGUACAUUUAUCAAAGCUCACCAAAUGACACAUUUACUGUACAUGGAUUUAAUGCACAAAGUGAACCUUAAAAUGUAAAGAAAAAGAUACAAAGGUACAAAUUGCUCAGAGAAUAAAAGCUCAAUUAAGCAUAUUUUUAAAAAAAUGAAACCUAUCAGAAACAUUUCAAACGCUUCUUGAACAACACUUAAAUAGGUCAUGAUUUAUAAUCUCCAGACACAGAACGUUUUUCUUCCUACCACCAAACUUUGUACCUUUAGGGAAAAAGUUUUAUUACAGAAAUAGAAUGUAAUAGGAAAAAUAAGCUGCUUCUUAAAUAUUUACCUUAAUACAUAAAGAAAACUAGGGACUGUCAUAAUUAGAACACAUGUAAGUCUUUUUUACCUAUGUAUAUUUAUAGCUGACUGCAUAUGAUUUUAGGUGAUAGUAAUUGCCAUUGUGUUUGAGUUUGUGAGUGUGUGUGGAGAAAUAACAGAAGGAAAGAGGAGAAGCAACAUUAGUGUAAUUUGAAGAACUGUAUGAAAUUAUUUCAGUACUGUCAAAUUAUCAUUUAUAAAAAGAAGAUAUAUUAUUGGUUGUUUUCAUGUGUAUUAAUUGACAUUCAAGCCAUCUGUAUCAUUUACUCAUAUAUGUUUAAUGGGGAUAGUAAAUAUCCCUCUGCCAGCUAGGAAAGAGCAUCUAUCAGGAGAGAUGACAGUCUUGGGGCUAUUACUCAGUGACUUGGUAGUAAAGGCUGAGCAUUUUCUUGAGGUUAUUAGAGUUGGAUUUUAAACUUCUUAUGUCAUAAUGUUUAUAGUAAGUAUAAACAUAUAAACCACAUUGUUUUAAUGGAUUUUUAAAACCUCCUACCAAAAAAAAAAAUCCACUUUAAA